rnacentral:hammerhead_ribozyme from 1 species
AUCCAACUGACGAGUCCUAAACAGGAAGAAACGUUCGUUCAGGAU